UUGAACGCUGGCGGCAGGCCUAACACAUGCAAGUCGAGCGGCAGCGCGGGGCAACCUGGCGGCGAGCGGCGAACGGGUGAGUAACGCGUAGGAAUCUACCCAGUAGCGGGGGAUAGCCCGGGGAAACUCGGAUUAAUACCGCAUACGCCCUAAGGGGGAAAGCAGGGGAUCUUCGGACCUUGCACUAUUGGAAGAGCCUGCGUUGGAUUAGCUAGUUGGUAGGGUAAAGGCCUACCAAGGCGACGAUCCAUAGCUGGUCUGAGAGGAUGAUCAGCCACACCGGAACUGAGACACGGUCCGGACUCCUACGGGAGGCAGCAGUGGGGAAUAUUGGACAAUGGGGGCAACCCUGAUCCAGCCAUGCCGCGUGUGUGAAGAAGGCCUUCGGGUUGUAAAGCACUUUAAGUGGGGAGAAAGGCUCGGCAGCUAAUAUCUGCCGGGAUUGAUGCUACCCACAGAAUAAGCACCGGCUAACUCUGUGCCAGCCGCCGCAGUAA
rnacentral:rRNA from 1 species